rnacentral:lncRNA from 1 species
UGAAGACGCCCUCCGUCAGCGACGCCGUCGCAAUGGCCAUUUGUCAAUUCUUCCUUCAAGGCCGGUGCCGCUUUGGAGAUCGGUGCUGGAACGAACAUCCCGGUGCUAGGGGUGCAGGAGGAGGACGGCAGCAACCGCAGCAGCAGCCUUCAGGUAAUAAUAGACGUGGAUGGAAUACAACUAGCCAGAGAUAUUCCAAUGUCAUCCAGCCAUCCAGUUUCUCCAAAUCCACACCAUGGGGGGGCAGCAGAGAUCAAGAAAAGCCAUAUUUCAGUUCUUUUGAUUCUGGAGCUUCAACUAACAGGAAGGAAGGCUUUGGAUUGUCUGAGAACCCAUUUGCUUCACUUAGUCCUGAUGAGCAGAAAGAUGAAAAGAAACUUCUGUAAGAAUUGUAAAAGAUAUGGAGGUUUGGGAAUCAUCAGGGCAGUGGAUGUUUUCUGUUUAUUCACCAGUGAAAAAGAAACCUAAUAUUUCAGGUUUUACAGACAUUUCACCAGAGGAAUUGAGGCUUGAAUACCAUAACUUCUUAACCAGCAAUAACUUACAGAGUUAUCUAAAUUCUGUCCAACGUUUAAUAAAUCAAUGGAGGAACAGGGUAAAUGAACUGAAAAGUCUAAAUAUAUCAACUAAAGUAGCUUUGCUCUCUGAUGUAAAGGAUGGAGUAAAUCAAGCAGCACCUGCAUUUGGAUUUGGCAGCAGUCAAGCAGCAACAUUUAUGUCGCCAGGCUUUCCAGUCAAUAACAGCAGCAGUGAUAAUGCUCAGAACUUUAGUUUUAAAACAAACUCUGGAUUUGCUGCUGCCUCUUCUGGAAGCCCUGCUGGUUUUGGGAGUUCCCCAGCAUUUGGAGCUGCAGCCUCUACCAGUUCAGGUAUCUCUACUUCUGCUCCAGCUUUUGGAUUUGGGAAGCCUGAAGUCACAUCGGCUGCAUCAUUUUCAUUCAAAAGCCCUGCAGCUUCCAGUUUUGGAUCACCUGGAUUUUCAGGACUUCCAGCUUCCUUGGCAACAGGUCCUGUCAGAGCUCCAGUGGCCCCAGCCUUUGGAGGUGGCAGUUCUGUGGCUGGUUUUGGUAGUCCGGGCUCACAUUCUCACACUGCUUUUUCUAAGCCAUCCAGUGACACUUUUGGAAAUAGCAGCAUAUCCACUUCUCUGUCAGCCUCAAGCAGCAUCAUUGCAACAGAUAAUGUGUUAUUCACACCCAGAGAUAAACUAACAGUAGAAGAACUGGAACAAUUUCAAUCCAAGAAAUUUACUCUGGGAAAAAUUCCAUUAAAGCCUCCACCUCUGGAACUUCUAAAUGUUUAAAAGGGCAAUUUUAAAUACAAAAAAGAAUGAUGUUUAAAAUUGCUUUGAGUGAUUCAUACAGAGAUGUAUAUAUGCAUACAUGUAUAUAUUCAUAAGGAAUAUAAGCUUCCAUCAAUAGUGAUUUUAAAUUUGAUUUUUUUCUUAACUCUAAAUAUUUAAGUAAAAAGUAACAAAAACUCUGCAAGCAAGGGAAUUUUUUUGUACUGUAAUUUUGAAUGGAACUGAAAAAUUAUGCACGAAUAAAGUACUUU